CUUAAAUUGAAGAGUUUGAUCAUGGCUCAGAUUGAACGCUGGCGGCAGGCCUAACACAUGCAAGUCGAGCGGAAACGAGUUAUCAGAACCUUCGGGGGACGAUAACGGCGUCGAGCGGCGGACGGGUGAGUAAUGCCUAGGAAAUUGCCCUGAUGUGGGGGAUAACCAUUGGAA
rnacentral:rRNA from 1 species